UCACGCCCGAAGUCGUUACUCUAACCGUUCGCGGAGGAGGGCGCCGAAGGCAGUGCUAGUGACUGGGGUGAAGUCGUAACAAGGUAGCCGUACCGGAAGGUGUGGCUGGAUCACCUCCUUUUAAGGGAGACCAACCCUUUAGGAUUCCGAGAUUAAUGUGAUAGGAACCUAAAGAGGUCAUCUCAAGGUCGGUCGAGAUUGAUGUUGGCUUUCAAACUAGUCCGGUUUAUUUUCAGAUUUUAAUCUCAGCAUCUUGGUCUGCUCCCAUCAAAAAGAGCGGGGCAUUUUGCUGGACUUAGGUCUGGCGAGCACCUAGACAAUUGCAUAGUAGAGAGAAGAUGUAGGUAGAGACACAGACACGAGUUGCGAGCGAGUGAGGCCGAAGAGGUCAAGCUAGAACGGGCUCAUGGUGGAUACCUAGGCACACAGAGG
rnacentral:sRNA from 1 species